rnacentral:rRNA from 1 species
AUGCGAAAUGAUUUUGGCGCGAAAAAUAGGUGCGCGCCUAAUGCGAAACGAUUUUGGCGCCACAUCAGCAAACAUCUUGGCGCCGCCCGUGGCAAGAAAGCAGAAGGAAACCCCCUCCCUCGCAAGACAGAGCGGAGCAGAGCAGUUCAGCGAUCCGCCGAUCUCGCCAGAAAGAAAUGGAGCCGUGGCGGAGAGGCGAGGGGUCCAGCCUCAAGAAGCCCAUGGCCCCGCCCGUGGCCUCCCUCGGCGCCGAACUCCUGGGGAAGAUACUCCGCCGCCUCCCCGACAUGGCGUCGCUCGCCAGCGCCGCCCGCGUCUGCAAGCGCUAGGGCCGCGUGGCCUCCGACCCGGCCGUCUUCCGCCGCUUCGGCUCCCUCCGCAGGCCCCCGCUCGUCGGCGUCCUCGUCACCGACCGCGGCCGCAAGAAGUCCCCCCUCUACUGCUCUGAUAUCUGCUUCAUCAAGGCCCCCUCGCGCAACAACCCCGAGCUGGCCUCCGCCGCGGCGAGCGGCGACUUCUACUUCAUGCACCACCCCGACGUCGACGACGACGACGAGUGGCGCCUCCGCGGCUGCGACGGCGGCUUCCUCCUCUUCUCCCUCGGCCGCUACAGCACGGACCUCGCCGUGUACGACCCCAUCGACCGGACCGCCGUCUUCUUCAAGCCGCCCCACGACUUCCGCCCGUUCCGCUACGCCAUCGUCGCCGACGAGGCCGACGCCUCGUUCCUGGUCAUCGCCAUACAGCCCGACCCCUGGGGCGACGACGCCUCGGUCGUCUUCUCCUCCCGCACCCGCAGCUGGGCCGAGAACGGCUCGGUGCGCUACAGAUUUGCCUGGCCCCACACCGACGGCAUUGCCGCCGGGCGGUUCGCCUACUGGCGGUCCAACACCAAGAAGGACUGUUAUUGCGAAGCGAAGGAGGAGAUAUUGGUGGUUGACACGGCAACCAUGGCGUGGUCGUACAUGA